GGCGUAAAGAGCUCGUAGGUGGUUUGUCGCGUUGUUCGUGAAAUCUCACGGCUUAACUGUGAGCGUGCGGGCGAUACGGGCAGACUUGAGUACCGCAGGGGAGACUGGAAUUCCUGGUGUAGCGGUGGAAUGCGCAGAUAUCAGGAGGAACACCGGUGGCGAAGGCGGGUCUCUGGGCAGUAACUGACGCUGAGGAGCGAAAGCGUGGGGAGCGAACAGGAUUAGAUACCCUGGUAGUCCACGCCGUAAACGGUGGGUACUAGGUGUGGGUUUCCUUCCUUGGGAUCCGUGCCGUAGCUAACGCAUUAAGUACCCCGCCUGGGGAGUACGGCCGCAAGGCUAAAACUCAAAGAAAUUGACGGGGGCCCGCACAAGCGGCGGAGCAUGUGGAUUAAUUCGAUGCAACGCGAAGAACCUUACCUGGGUUUGACAUGCACAGGACGCCGGCAGAGAUGUCGGUUCCCUUGUGGCCUGUGUGCAGGUGGUGCAUGGCUGUCGUCAGCUCGUGUCGUGAGAUGUUGGGUUAAGUCCCGCAACGAGCGCAACCCUUGUCUCAUGUUGCCAGCGGGUAAUGCCGGGGACUCGUGAGAGACUGCCGGGGUCAACUCGGAGGAAGGUGGGGAUGACGUCAAGUCAUCAUGCCCCUUAUGUCCAGGGCUUCACACAUGCUACAAUGGCCGGUACAAAGGGCUGCGAUGCCGCGAGGUUAAGCGAAUCCUUUUAAAGCCGGUCUCAGUUCGGAUCGGGGUCUGCAACUCGACCCCGUGAAGUCGGAGUCGCUAGUAAUCG
rnacentral:rRNA from 1 species